CUAUAUAGAUAAAGAAUAAACCUAUAAACUUAUCUUCACAUUUAUGUACAACUUUUUCUCAUCAAACUUCCACUAAAUAUUUAGACAGAAAAAAAGAGUUCAAAGGCAUACCCACACAGUUCAGUGCUCUUGUCAUCUGGAACCCCUUUUCCAUGGCAGAAGCAUCCACAUUUCUCGAUACGAGGAGGCAUGCUGUGGUAACGGGAGCAAACAAAGGAAUCGGGUUAGAGAUUUGCAGGCAGUUGGCCUCAAAGGGGGUGACGGUGGUCUUAACUUCAAGAGACGAGAAGAGGGGUCUCAAGGCUGUUUGCAAACUGAAAGAAGAAGACUCUGCCGCUCCCUCCGGUGAAGUAGUUUUUCAUCAGCUUGAUGUUACUGACUCCGCAAGCAUAGAUUCACUGGUUGAGUUUGUCAGUACCCGGUUCGGAAAGCUGGACAUUCUGGAAAUUGUAACUUCUCUGUAUCACCACCAGCCGACCCCAAUUAACAAGCAUAAACAAGUGAUUAAACUCCGGGGUUGUUCCAUUCUUUCCUCUGAAUGUGGCGUGAUCCCUUAUCUGAGCUCCUUUUUUGAUGCCUCGCUCAUGUGACUAAUAGAAGAUGGAAAACUAUUGCAGGUGAACAAUGCUGGGAUGAGUGGAAUCAAUUUAGAUUUUCAAGCCUUUACAAGUGCUGUUGAGCGUGUUGGUGGUUGGCCAACUGAUGAAGAGUAGUGGAAAACGAUGUCCACCCAAAAUUACAAAUUGGCCAUAGAAUGCCUGGAAACAAAUUACUAUGGAGCAAAAAGAGUGACCGAAGCUCUCAUUCCCCUGCUUCAACAGUCGGAUUCUGCAAGGAUCGUCAAUAUCUCUUCAUUUUUAGGACUCUUGCAGGUAUAUCCAGUCGUGGCAGUUAUGUUUUGAUGUAAAGCAUUUUUUCAACUUUGGUUUUCCAAUUUUUCGCACACAAUACUUGAUUUCUCUUUUGGGAUUUGGACCUUGAACUGCUUCUCGUCGUAGUUGGGAAUAGAAAAUUCAAUGAACUGUUCCUAGAAAAUCUAAUUUUCCUACACCUUUCCUAAACAGGAAUAUUUGAAACGGCUACCUAAAGUCUGCCAUCUUUCAGGAAGCUCCUUUUAGUUAUGAGCUUUUGCGUUCUCAAGAAAAUGAAUAGCAGGACGGAAGAUGGAUUAGACUACGUUUAAUUAGAUAACAUUUUUAUAGAAGCCUUUUAUUUUUAUGGGAAAAAAGAGAAUUAAGAAGUUCCAAACAGGUUUUACGACAUGGAAAUGGGAACUGGGAAUAAUCUUCCUCAACCCGAGCUGUGGAUUACCGUUUCCUCCCUGACCUUUUGCUAAAACUUAUCUCAUUAUCUUUGUCAAUUCAAAGCAAAUUCCUGGGAAAUCAAUCACAGAUGACCUGGGAGACAUCAAGAGCCUGACAAAAGAUCGAAUAGAUGAUAUCCUGAAGGAUUUCCUGGAAGAUUUCCGACAGGGAAAAUUAAAAGCCAAAGGCUGGCCCGAGAAUAUCUCUGCAUACAAGAUGUCAAAAGCAGCCCUGAACGCUUACACAAGGCUCCUAGCAAAGGAGUUCCCGUCGUCCCUUGUGAACAGCGUUUGCCCGGGCUUUGUCAGGACUGAUAUGACCAGCAACAAUGGAGUUCUUGCUGCUCAUGAAGGAGCGGAGAGCCCCGUGCACCUGGCUCUUCUGCUGAAAACUGGGCCCUCCGGCCUCUUCUUCUCCAGGAAAGAAGUCUCUAAUUUCUGAGAAACAAAGCUUGAUAAUGAUAGAUAUUAGGUGCUGGAAGGAUACAAUAGUUAUAAUAACCCAUCCAUUGAUAUCGAUAGUUAUAAAUAUCAGCAAGCCCUUCUCAAUUUCAUAAACUUCAGGCCCUGUCAGACUUCCCAUUAUCAUCGGAUUACAUGAUUUUAAUGGUAUCCAAGAGUUCUGGUUUCCCAAA